AGCCUGAUCUCAUUUGCAAGGGAAAAUGAUAGGCUUGUUAUUCUGCUAUGUGAGGAGUCUUUUAUAAAGGACUCCCAUUCUGUGAAUUAGAACAUAAUAAUCUCUAGGAUGGAUACAAGGAUGGACAAUGGUAUCAGAUUUUUCUCUUAGAGAUGGAGGACCAACCAAGGAAAAAGUCGAUGGAUCCAAAAGAGAGCCACAACUGCAACAAUUAAUAACAAUUUUGUGUAUCUUAUUUCAGAAUAAUACAUUAAAGUAUUUCUACAUUUACUUAAAAUUGUGGUGAAUAUUACUAACCCUCAUCAAGUGACGGGCAGAUCUCCAUGUGAGGAAACUCCAAUGGAGUGGGAUCCUCCGGAAAAUCAAAGCUCUUCAAAUGCCAGAAAUGUGGCAGCAUCGAACUCCUCCACUGAAGAGGAGAUCCCAAUGGAGGUUGACCAGAAGUAAGAAAACCCUCAUUUGGGCAAGCUGUCCCCAAGCCAGCAAACAGGAGCCUCUAUUUUCCACGGAGGAGGGCUUGGUCUGCCUUUCUUCUUCACCUUCUCUGCCAGUCCAGCAGGCUUCCUCCAGAGCGCUACACUCCUCAUUCCUUUUGCAUAGGAGCAGCAACAACUGUAGCAUCAACAGCUCCUGUCUCAACGGUCAAGGCAUUCAUCAUCGCCAUCUACUUAUGAACGUUACCUCUGGCGCAAGGCCCAAGCAAUCCUUGAUGCUCAAAAAGCAAUGAGUGCCCUGUAAUUUGUUGGCUUAACCUCCUAAGGCCCAAGCUGUUUUCCUACAUGCUUUUUCCUGACUGUUUUUUAAUGUAUUACUAACACAUACACACAUAUUUUUUGAACAUUUUUUGAAUAUCAGAGAGUAAAAACAACAUGGAAACAUUGCAUUUUUGCCCAUUUUGGACAGUUAAAACAGUUGCAGGAUGACAUUGUAUGUCUGUAUCAAAAUAUAAAACAUUCAAAGCAUUUUAAA